GAAAAGACCGUCUGACCGGUCAGACCACCCACCUAUGGGUGUGUCGCGGGUCAGUUCGCGGGUCAAAAAGAUCCGUGGUUUUAAUUUACGGGUUAUAUAAAUAUCUAUUUUUACCCGAUUUCGAAACUCUAUUUCAUUUCUCUCUCCUCUCAAACCCGCUGCCUCCCUCUCUCACCUCAAACCCUCUGCUUUUCUCUCUUUGAAAUCGCCGGCGGUGGAGAACGGUGGUGGCGAAACUCGCCGCCUGCGAGCAAGGAGACAUUCUCGAUCUCUUUCUCCCUCCUCUUGAUACUCUUCGCCUCAAAACCGUUUGCGACGACGAUGUCAAGAUCGAGCAUCGAGCAUGAAGGUGGCGCCGGUGAUUAACCUUGUCGCAUUAGCCGUCGGAGAUGGGAGGAGAGCGGAGUGGAACGGAGCGCUGAACGGCGGUGGCGGCUGAGGCACUACUUUCUUCUUCUGAUUUUAGGUUUUUUUAAUUUUCAGCUUUUUGUUUAAUGUUGUUGAUUUAAUUAGAAUUAAAUUUGUUUUAGUCAUGAUAAAAUCUGUUGCGGUGCAUUGAGUUGGUGCUUUGGACUCGAUUUUUUGUCCCGCGCUUGGUGGCGGCCGAAGGGCCAAGAAUGGAAUCCAGAUAGUGAAAUGAGAGUAACCCCAUUACUUCUGACUUGCCAACAAUGAGCAUGGUGAAGGACAUCCUUAGUCGAUUAGGCUCAAAGGUCACAGUUCUCAACAUCUCUCAGCUAUUUGAAUAUCGAAAAGAUGGCCAUCCUUCUAUUUAUCGCACAGGCACGGGCGCAAGAAGCCCCUAAGAAACAGCAACACCACUCCCCACCACAACCACAUGCUGCAGGAACAAUGCUGCAGAAGCAACGACUGUUGUUGGUCGAUCCAGAUUAGAAGACUAUAUUCUCUUUGAGAUGGCUCAAAUGAUUGCUUGUGCAACUGUUUAUGUUCUCAAAUGAGCAGCUUUUGCCGCUUUCGUGGAUGUUGAUGAUGAUGUUGUUGUCGUGUGGUGUUCUAAUUCGUUUUAGUUAUUCAUGGUUUUAGUUAAGAAUUGUACAUAGUAUUACUUUAGUUAUAUUUAGUUAUGAAAUGGAACGGUUUAGUUAAUCAUGGUUUUAGUUAUUUUUAGAAAAAAAAAAGGGAAUUCAUGGUUUUAGUUAAGAAAUGUAUUGUUUUAGUUAUAUUUUUGUAAUAUUUAGUUAUCAAAUGAACGGUUAGUUUAUAAUUUUUUCAUUAAUUUUAGUUAUACUUUUGUUGCA